GCCGGGUUGGCGAAAUCGGCAAACGCGGAAGCCUCAAAAGCUUUUGCCCGUAAGGGCUUGCGGGUUCAAGUCCCGCACCCGGCACCA
rnacentral:tRNA from 2 species